rnacentral:rRNA from 1 species
UACGUAGGUGGCAAGCGUUGUUCGGAAUUAUUGGGCGUAAAGGGCGCGUAGGCGGUUUGUUAAGUCGGUUGUGAAAGCCCGGGGCUCAACCCCGGAGAGUCGACCGAUACUGGCAGACUAGAGUACAGAAGAGGUAGCUGGAAUUCCUGGUGUAGCGGUGAAAUGCGCAGAUAUCAGGAAGAACACCCGUGGCGAAAGCGGCUCUCUGGAACGGUACUGACGCUGAGACGCGAAAGCGUGGGGAGCGAACAGG